UACGUAGGGGGCAAGCGUUGUCCGGAUUUAUUGGGCGUAAAGCGCUCGUAGGUGGUUUGUCGCGUUGUUCGUGAAAACUCACAGCUCAACUGUGGGCGUGCGGGCGAUACGGGCAGACUUGAGUACUGCAGGGGAGACUGGAAUUCCUGGUGUAGCGGUGGAAUGCGCAGAUAUCAGGAGGAACACCGGUGGCGAAGGCGGGUCUCUGGGCAGUAACUGACGCUGAGGAGCGAAAGCGUGGGGAGCGAACAGG
rnacentral:rRNA from 1 species